UGGGUUUUCCAAGAAAUAUCUUCCUGAGCCCUUGCUGAGGAAUAGCUGAAUUUCCUUUCUUGUUUGUGUUUUUCUUUUCCGUUCUUGUUUUUGUUUCUUCUAGCGAGGAUACAUCCUUAUUGGUUGGAGAGUUGAGUUGAGCAAGUUUUUGGUUUCUUCAGCUCCUAGGCCCGGUCCCGUGCUGGACAAUGUCCCUGAAGGACCCUGCGAUCACCGCACAGCCAAGUUCACCACUCUAGUUGAAAUCCGAAUCUUCAGCAUACCCACGGGCUCCCAGGACAUCGUGUGCCCAAGGUGCCUCAGCCCCCGCGCCUGAGGGGGAGAAGUGCCCUUGCCUCGUGGUCCUGGAGGAUGGCUCAGACACCCACCGCAGGCGCCGUGAGAGCAGAGAGCCGCUGGUUCGUCACCAGAGGUCGGCAACGAGGGCAGAUCGUGAUCUUGUGACCCAAGAUUCCACAUGUAUAUGAGAUCAUACAGUAUUCGACCAAAGAAAAUAUUAGUGGAGCCCUCCGUCUACUUUGCAAACAUGGUAAGAGUUGUUUUAUGAAACCAGUAUUGGAAAUAGGCAACUAGCGUCAGCCUAUACCUUAGUUGGCCUGCUUUGUGCUUUGGCUGUAUUGAUGCAGAUUCGACCUGCAGUAGACCUGGGUCUCCCCAAAAUGAGCUCCAAGACACUGGCUUCUUUAGCCAACAUUCUCAUGCAGCAGAAGGAGCAAAUGCUAAGGUGGGAAGGGGAAAUGAGGCAACAGACAGGGAGAGGCUUCUGCCAAGGCACUCCAUUGAGGUCGUCUGGGUCAGCAUGAGGCCU